AACGAACGCUGGCGGCAUGCCUAACACAUGCAAGUCGAACGAGACCUUCGGGUCUAGUGGCGCACGGGUGCGUAACGCGUGGGAAUCUGCCCUUGGGUUCGGAAUAACAGUUGGAAACGACUGCUAAUACCGGAUGAUGACGUAAGUCCAAAGAUUUAUCGCCCAGGGAUGAGCCCGCGUAGGAUUAGCUAGUUGGUGGGGUAAAGGCCUACCAAGGCGACGAUCCUUAGCUGGUCUGAGAGGAUGAUCAGCCACACUGGGACUGAGACACGGCCCAGACCCUACGGGAGGCAGCAGUGGGGAAUAUUGGACAAUGGGCGAAAGCCUGAUCCAGCAAUGCCGCGUGAGUGAUGAAGGCCUUAGGGUUGUAAAGCUCUUUUACCCGGGAUGAUAAUGACAGUACCGGGAGAAUAAGCCCCGGCUAACUCCGUG
rnacentral:rRNA from 1 species